GGUUGAUCCUGCCAGUAGUCAUAUGCUUGUCUCAAGGAUUAAGCCAUGCAUGUCUAAGUAUGAACCUUCAUACGGUGAAACUGCGAACGGCUCAUUACAACAGUUAUCAUUUACUUGGUGAUUGGAUCUCUGAUCCUACAUGGAUACCUGUCGGUAACACCAGAGCUAAUACAUGCACAAACUCUCCGGCCGUCAAAAGUGGAGAGGCAUUUAUUAGAUACCGCCACCCUGCGUUCUUCGCAGGUCGGGUGAUUCAUAGUAACCUUGCGAAUCGCUCAAGCGAGCGAUGAAC
rnacentral:rRNA from 1 species